GCUACCAUGCAGUCGUACGAGAGUUUUUACUCUAGUGGCGGACGGGUGAGUAACACGUGAGAAUUUGCCUUUAGGAGGGGGAUAACAAUUGGAAACGAAUGCUAAUACCCCAUAUGCUUUCGAGUGAAAUGGAUUUAUAUUAUCCGCCUAGAGAGAAGCUCGCGGCUGAUUAGCUUGUUGGUAAGGUAAGAGCUUACCAAGGCGACGAUCAGUAUCUGGUUUGAGAGGACGAUCAGACACACUGGAACUGAGACACGGUCCAGACUCUUACGGGAGGCAGCAGUAGGGAAUUUUCCGCAAUGGGCGAAAGCCUGACGGAGCGACACCGCGUGCAGGAUGACGGCCCUCGGGUUGUAAAC
rnacentral:rRNA from 1 species